rnacentral:lncRNA from 1 species
AUGGAUUGUUUCCCUAGUGGAAAAGACAAAGCAAACAAAGGCCCCCCCCCAUUAUAAAAAGCCCAUUUGCACAUGAUUUGCAGAUUCCCCCUAAUCAGAGGCCAUUGUUCCAAUGCAGCAGCAUUUUAGUUUGGUACUUCAAGGAACUCAGCACAGGGCCUCAGCUUUGCAAUAGUAAAUUACCUUUCCUCUUCUUGCCUCUGGCUUUUUGUCCUCUUCCACCCCACCCCCAGCAAUUUCAAGUUUAAACUCAAACUACAGUGUGAGGGGAUGUCUGGCUACAGAUUGCAUGCAGUUGCGGGUGAAAUCUUAGGCAUGAUUGCAGUGACGUUGAAGUUGACACAAGUUUAGACAAUUUGAAAAGCACCUUUUGGGCAUUCUCACCUGUGACUAUCCCUUACAUUUGCAUUAACCUUUGGGUUAAAUUUUCAAGCUAACAUGUUCAGCUUUAAUUCUCUCAAUCUUGGAUUUGUGUUUCUUUUAAAGCUGCAGGGCCCUAUUUUCAAAUGAAGAUGGAUGUGAAAACUUGGUGUGGCUUUCACAGAUAUUCCGAUCCCCAGUAGGCUUUUUCACUCUCCUCCCACCCAUCAGCACACAUUUGUGAUGAUUGUUGCGUUUUUUUUUUUUAAUGGCCACACUUGUGGCAUAUGGAGGUUCCUAGGCUAGAGGUCUAAUUGGAGCUAUAGUCUCUGGCCUACGCCACAGCCAUAGCAACACCAUAUCCAAGCCUCAUCUGUGACCUAUACCACAGCUCAUGGCAACGCUGGAUCCUUAACCCACUGAGCGAGGCCAGGGAUCAAACCUGCAACCUCAGGGUUCCUAGUGGAUUCGUUUCUGCUGUGCCAUGACAGGAACUCCUUGAUGAUUAAUAUUGACAAUUUCAAACACAUGGAGUUCUCUGUGUGGCUCAGUGGGCUAAGAACCUGACCAGUAUCCCUGGUCUGGCUCCGUGGGUUAAGGAUCCGGUGUUGCUGUGAGCUGUGGUGUAGGUUGCAGAAGCCGCUUGAAUCCCACGUUGCUGUGGCUGUGGCAUAGACCGGCAGCUGCAGCUCCAAUUGAACUCCUUGCCUGGGAACCUCCAUAUUGCCACAAGUGUGGCCCUAAAAAGGCAAAGAAAAAAGAAAGAAUCCAAAUAAAGUCCACAGGUUGCCUUUGAUCCUCUCCAUUACUCGUACUCUCUCCCCCAAUUUCAUGACUGGGCUUAUGGUCUUUUUCUUCCCCUUUGGGAAAUGAUCAGAAGGUAAAGUCACAAAGACAGUUCCAAUGUUGGCAGGAUGUUCUGAGCAUUCUCCACUGCAUUUUUUAAAUCUAAAGCCCUACAUUUAUAGUUUAACAUGUAAACUUUCCAUUCUUUUGUUUUUGAAAGCGAUGUUUUGUCAAUGACACUCUCUGAGAAUUGUCCUGAGGAAAAUGGAGAUGCGCAUAGAAUGCCCAGCACACAGAAAACACUCAAAAACUUUAUGGAUUUUUAAUUGGUAAUGAUGACCAUUGCAAUUAUGGCAUCUCAGAAAUUGAGUCUUAGAGUCAGCUGACCUGUGUUGGAAAUCGGGUUUUCUACCUGCAUGUGACAGAAGGAACACUGCUAAAUCUUCCUUUCAUUAAUUAUGAAUUGAGAAUCAUAAUAGCUCCUGGCACUUUAAGGAAAAGAGUUACUGUGGAUAAGACACAUAUAAUGUUACUGGGCACAAAACAGGUCUUCAGCAAUGGUAGUGUAUAUACCAUUUUAUAUAUAAUAAAAUACAAAUAUUAAGUCAGCCAUUACCAUGCACCUUAUCUCUUUUCCUUACCUUUCCAUUCCCAUGUGGAUAGGAAUCCUUAUGUUUCAAUAUACACACUGUGUAGUAGAAUAUUUAUUUAGGAUUCUAGGUCUGAACUCAGUUUUUGGUAGCAAUCAAGCCUUAGGCAUUUCUCUCUACCUGCUUGAGCACAGUUUAUUUUUUUUGUAAAAUAGAAUCAUAUCUGUUUUGAAAACAUGACAAAGUCAGUGUAAUACUCACAUAGAUUCCACAUGGGUGAAAGUGCUUGAAAACGGUGAAGGUGCCUCCUGACAUGCUGAGUCCAAAGUACACCGAACAGAUUGUCAAAUAAAUGCACACAAAUUCUGAUGGUUGAUUCCAUUCGGGAAAUAAUUCAUAAAUAUUAUCCUAAAAAUAUAUGUUAAUCUUCCUGGGUUUACUUGCUUUUCUUUGCCAUUGAAUCAUUCCACCAGGAUUUCCUUUGUUUUGACCAAUAACCAGAAAAUGCUUGGAGGGCGUGUGUUAAGGGAGAAAUCACCUUGAUGCAAUGGUGCCCUCCAAGUGUUAGGUGGGAUAGAAUAAGGACUUGGAUCUGGGUGAUUCAAAACAGGCCAUUUAUUGUCACCAAAAACCAGAAGUCUAUGAUCAAAAGUUAAAGACAGGCAAAUACCAGAGGAAUGCGCUUUAGAGCAACUCCUUAUAACCUUUUUCCCAUGUAAAUAAGGCAUCCUUGCUGAAACCAAUCAGAAGUUCCCAACACGCCCCCUUACGCACGCACGCACGCACGCACACGCACGGUGGCGCAGUGGGGUUGGGACAGGAAACUGGUCAGCAUGGGGCAAGAGAAUAGAGGUCACAAACAGGUGGGCGGAGUAGGGAUAUAAGCAGAAACCUAGUUGCAGCCAGCGCCAGUCCCUACCUAGGGCGGCCCACUGUCUCUGAGGGUGGGCAUAAAACUUGCUACUUGACUCUCGGUUGCGACUUAUGAGGCAACCAGCAGGAGCGUUUUUUCCGCUCAGGACUACGGACCGGAAUGGCUCAUUAAGCCCAGGUCAGAGCUGUUACACUGCAAGGUGUCAGUUGGGAAAUUCCAUUGGAUUGAGAACUUCUCUGUUCUGAGCUGAUUGCUUCUGCGUGGAGAGACUGCCUGCCUCCAUCCCUGCCUGGCAAGACCACUGGGUCUCUCCCAGCGCUGCCGCAGCAUCUCUCGGCGGAACAGCCUCCCACCAGCUUGCCUGCCUCCAUCCUGUGCGACGAAGCCGGCUGGCUCUAUCCCGGUGCCGCCACCUCACUUCUCAGCCCGCACCUCCAAAUCCUUGUGUGUAGGCAAGGACAGAGGGAGAUAGCGCCGAGCAGAUGAACCUGACACAGGACAUUACAGAGCCACCUGCCUCGGAGGUCAGGAACCUAAAGACUCGAGUACCAGUCUAAGAGGUUUGAAUCACAUGGUUUAAUAAACUCACCGAGAGAAGCAAAGGGGAAGAGAUGGAAGAGAUGGAGGAUGAAUGCAUCUAAGGUGGGUACAAAACAGGGUAAAAGGACCAGAAUCCCUGAAUCCCAUAGUAGGCAAUGCUUAUAGUCUCUCUCUGUCUGUCACUUUCUGUUUCUGACACAUUAGCCUUUCCCUGCUGGGGUUACAUGGAGGAACAGAGUUCCUAAUGAACAAGCGGGUCAACAUAUGGAAAAUACUUGAGGCAAACACACACCUGCUUUUAUGAGACACACAGGCAAAUUUGCCUGGCCACAGCUGUAGCUUGCCAGUUGGCCUACUGGCUUUUAUCCAUGUGUUGUAGGCAGACAACUGAGGGGAAUGAAUGUUCCCAAUGAGUGGCCAACUAAAUGCCUGGUGAGUUUUGAAUGCCUUAUGAAUAGUUAGUGUGACUUUGAAUAUUCUACUUACUUUAUCUAUGUUUAAUAGGUCUCACUGGCCACUGGCAUCGAUUACUUUCCUCUGUCCUCAUUGGCCUGUUUCUCUUAGUUUAUAGAGUCAAACUGAACAUCCUUAAACAACAGAGCAAAUGUACCAUCAUGUACCACAAUUUUUGUGUGAAAGUAGCCUGAACUUCCACUCUAACUUAACCUUCCUCCUGUUCUCAGAAUGAGACAGGGGAGCUGAAGGAAGGAAAUGGAGACCAGGUUCCAACAUUAGAACCAGACUAGCAUCUUAGCACCACACUGGGUCUUUUUUGAAUAAAUUUGGAAGCAAAAGGAAAUCCACGCAUGUCAGCCUUUGACAGGCCACGUAAGGUAG